AUGUUUUCAGAUCUUCGGAUCUUCUGAUUUCAGAUUUACUGUAUGAUUUUUAUUCAAAUGUCCAUAUAUUGGUGAAAAGUACCUAUUGGUGAAAUGUAGAUAUUAUUUUCUCUUUUGAACAUUACAUAUAAAUUCUAGCAAGACAUUAAGAGAAGAGACAUUCUUGACCAUGGGAGAGAAAAGGGGGAAUGUCUCUUAUCUGAUGAAAUGUAUCAUUGGUUGUUGUUUGUUUUAAUGAGAAUGAAGUUCUUCCGUCACUUUGCCAACCCCACAUGCAUGCCUGGUGAGAACACAGGAGAAGGUCUGCUUUGUAGUUGCCACCCAGGCUUUGAGAUUUUCCCCCCAGAGAAGUUAGAUAUGCACCUCUGUAACCUCUUUCCAUUAAACAGGUGAAGUCCUUUCUGUUUCAGCCAACUUUUGACAAAUGAUUGUUUAAGUGGGACAGACCUUGUACAAUGUGCUGGAUUUUAUAUUGAUUAUUUUGUUCUGCUGUUGUGUUUUUUAUGGUUUUGUGGUUUAUGUUUUUAACUUGUUUUUCAUCAUUCAAUCACUUUUUAACUUUAGUAUUUUGUGAAUUAUAACGGUGUGUUUUAAAUCCAUUGUAACCCACCUUGAGUCCUGACCUGGGAAAAGGAAGGAAAUACAAAUACAUCUAAUAAUUAAUCCAUAAUUUAAUAUGGCAUUUGUUGAGCAAUACAGGUUGAAUACUCCUUAUCUGAAAUAAAAGAGAACAGAAUUGUUUUGGAUUUUGGAAUAUUUGCAUAUACAGUAGAGUCUCACAUAUCCAACACCCACUUAUCCAACGUUCUGGAUUAUCCAACGCAUUUUUGUAGUCAAUGUUUUCAAUGCAUUGUGAUAUUUUGGUGCUAAAUUUGUAAAUACAGUAAUUACUACAUAGCAUUAAUGUGUAAUGAACUACUUUUUCUGUCAAAUUUGUUGUAUAACAUGAUGUUUUGGUGCUUAAUUUGUAAAAUCAUAACCUAUUUUGAUGUUUAAUAGGCUUUUUCUUAAUCUCUCCUUAUUAUCCAACAUAUUUGCUUAUCCAACAUUCUGCUGGCCCAUUUAUGUUGGAUAAGUGAGACUCUACUGUAUGUAAUGAGAUAUCUUAAAGUUUAAACAUGGAAUUCAUUUAUAUUUCACACUUUAUACACACAUAGUCAGAAGGCAAUUUCAGGCACACAUACUCGUAAUAAUAUUGUGCAUGAAGUUGUGUACAUCGAAAUAUCCAAAUUCAAAGGUAUUGCUAUCUCAGACAACCAUGUAGACAAUUUCAGCUUUUGGAGCAUUUCAAAUUUACUCUUAUCAACCUGGAAAAAAAUUACUGGGCCAUGAAUUGGGAAAAUCAUUUUAGUCAGUCAAAAGCUAUUUAAAUAAUUGCUGUAGAACAUAUUUGUCUGUUAAUAUUAUAUUAGAUAUGCCCAGUAUUGAAUAUGAUUAGAUAGCUAAUUAUCUGAAGGUGCAAAGGCUAAAAAGCAGACAGAAUCCCUUCUAACUAAUUCUAGGAAUAGGAAAUUUGAGCUUGAGAAAUUUGCUUUUCUUAGACCAACACAGCCAUAGACACUGGCUAGGAGAUCAUGACAGUUGAGAUCCAAUUUAAAUUUCUUGAGUUCUGGAAUGUGGAAAAGGUUUUCCAUCAUAGAUAUAUUUAUGAGUAAGUAAGUAAGUAUAUUUAUGAACCAGUAUGUACUAUUUUAGUUGUUUUAUUCUUCAUCUGGAUGUCCUUACUAAUGUAAAUGUGUAUUUUGAUGUGAUUAGCAGAUAUAUAUACCUAAUGGUUAUGUAUGACUACAGCUAGAUAUGAACCAUUGACCUUUUUUCUUUAUUUCCAUAAAGAGAUUUGUUAAAAAGCAUGAAAUCCAUGUAGUAGAAAUAAACAUAUCAGCUAGAUUUGCGUGUACCUUUGUAAAAAUAAAAGAUAUGCAUAAAGUAGUACUAGAUGGCUGAUAUCAUGACCUUCUCAACACAGAUGCUCGAAACAAUUCAGUUUUUCUCUUAUAAGGCAGACCAAUGCUCCAAAGACCCAAGCUUCAGCUUACUCUCUUCAGUUGUCUACAGGAAAGAUUUUGGCUCCAUUUCCAGGGUAGAGCUGCUAACCUUUCUGUCUCCAACAAGAAUCAGUUGUCUUUUCCCCCUCAUUCAUCUGAGGAGGCCUUCUUCUAAUCUGACAUGUACAUUCCAUAGGAGCAUCCAUAAAAUAUGUAGGUCUGUCUUGUGUAAGUCUCUAUUGCAUUCUUAUCAAAAUAUGCCUAAUAAGCCAUAUUUCCUCCUGGUUUUUUUUAAUAGUGCCACUGCAAUUCACCACUCAUGCCACUGAAUGAUUCUAUGUUUGGGGAAUGUGGUGGAACCAAUGCUAAAAGAUUGCUAGGUUAUUAAUGUAGUUUCUACUUCUUGUUGUCAUUUGUAGGCAGACAAAAUAGCAAAAACAAACAAACAAAACUCAGCUACAUUUCCACUGGCUAGGACUAGGCUGAACAAUUAUCAUCCAAAUAGAAGUGGAAGGACAAUGGUAGCUCAGGAAAAUUGUUAAGAUUUAACUUUAUACUUGCAGAGUCUCAGUGCCUUCCAGUAGCUUACACCUGCUCAGUACUUUCAGUCUUCCAGUCUGCUUCCACAGUAGACACUUGAGCACAUGCCCGGCCAUUGUCAGUUUUUACUACUGUCUUUCCCCCAGUCUAGAUGAUAUUACAGACUCACCACAGUUUGCAGUAUCUUGUCCUAGUAGACAGGUUUAAUUGCAUAUAGACUUCACAACAUCAAAAGGAAAGGGAGAGGGAAAAUACACUGAACAUGGUUCCUUAUAUACAAUACAUUUACACAUAGUAAUCCUUGAUUGGUUACCAACUAAUUGACCCAACCCAAACUCAGGAUUGCAUCAUUGACAAUCACCUGGAGUAGGCCCAAACACAUUCCCCAAAUGAUUCCCAAUAGAAGCCCAUUAGCAGUGCAUGACUCAGUACAUUGUAAAACCUAACAAAAAUUUAUUUGUAGAGGAGAAAAAUGGAAUUGGACUACUAUUAAGGCUAACAGUGACCCCAUACAAAGCCUACUUACAUUGCCUUUCAGGACAAAUCAAAUGCUCCUUCAGAUAGCAUGGCCAAGGAGUUGUAAUAAAAAGUAACGUUGGGUUGUUGUAUGUUUUCUGGGCUGUAUGGCCAUAUUCCAGAAGUAUUCUCUCCUGAUGUUUUGCCCACAUCUGUGGCAGGCAUCUUCAGAGGUUGUGAGGUAUGGAGAAACAGUUUCUCCAUAUCUCACAACCUCUGAGGAUGUCUGCCACAGAUGUGGGUGAAAUGUCAGGAGAGAAUACUUCUGGAACAUGGCCAUACAGCCCAGAAAACAUACAACAACCAUGUGAUCCCGGCCAUGAAAGCCCUCGACAACACAAAAAGUAAUUUUUUUCCAUGUUCCCACAUCAAGAGCCCCUUGAGUUUCCAUUAUGCACCCUUAGACUCAUCUGUGGUAGUAGAUGGAACUACUCCUAGUUUUGUACUCUUAGGGAGAGUUAAUGGACUUUUUCCACCUCCCCUGAACAGUUCCACGUGAGUUCGUCUGCUUUGCAGAAGUUGUAAUAAAGUGCAAGGUUAAUUACGGAGGCUGGGAACAUGGCCAGCCUGUUUACAAUUGCAGCUUCCAGCAAAAUGGAUUAUUCUUCUCCCUUUCUCUCCAUCAGAAAACCAUUGCUCCAUGUCAACAAGCAAUAGUGCAGCAGAAUACCACUGUCUCUUCUGCCUCAAGAGGCUAGUUUAAGGUUCUUUUAAUUUGGUGUGUGUGCACACAAAUGUGUGUGUGUUGUUGUGUUAUGGAAUCAUGAAGUUGUAGUUUUUCUCAUAAGUUUGUUUACAAUGCUUUUAAGCUACUUUAGAUAAGAUUUUUGUUGGUCUCAUUAUUCUUAUUGUUAUUUGACUAAAUUUCAGCCGUAAAAAAAGUGAGAGAAGAUAUUAUUGACUACUUUGACUGUUCAAUUAUAUUACCCAACAAAAGGUCUCAAUGUGGCUAAACACACCUUCGUUCGUGUUUCAGAGGGUCAUUCAUGAGGAAUUCACCUUAACAUGUGACUGGCUCUGAUUAAACAUCGGGAAGCAGAUUCCUGGAACAAUUUUUGCUGUUUUCUGAACAUAUUGCUGAAGGAAUCAGGGGCUACUAAUUGAGUUAAAAUAAAUGAAUUUUGCUUCUUGUUAGCAGGGCACAUUGCACUGUUAUGGAAUCCAGACCUCAUUAAUCACUGAGAUAUUUCUCAUUUCAUUUCAUUACCUGUUUUAAGACUACCCACUAAAAAGAACGUCCAAAUCUUUGUAAAAUGUUUAUUAUAUAUCCACUAAUUUCUGUUUGUAUCUUUAUGUUCCAAGCAGAUUCAUUUUAGACCAGAGAUUAAUUUUCUGAUAAGAUUUUCCCCUAAUACCAUAGUUUCUGAAUUAAUGUCUUUUCCUCAGAUUUGUCAACAACAUUGAUUGAUGUCUUUAUAUAAAUUUAUAGUGUUAACUAGCGGUGUCUGGUGGCUCCUGUGUUAGUCAGAUGGUGAAUCCACUCCUGGCCUUAAUCCCAGUUGUAUAUGAAAUAGUGAACCUGAGUGGGUUCAACUCACUUGAAAUGAGGCACAGAAAGCAUUUUAUGGAUAUCUUGCACUCCCAAAAAUAUAAAGAAAUGGGUCCAAGACCAAAUCAGUCAAACCUGAGCUGCCCCUAGAAGUCAAAAUGACUACAUUGAGAUUGUUGUGCUUUGAAGAUACAGUAGAGUCUCACUUAUCCAACACUCGCUUAUCCAACGUUCUGGAUUAUCCAACACAUUUUUGUAGUCAAUGUUUUCAAUACAUCAUGAUAUUUUGGUGCUAAAUUCGUAAAUACAGUAAUUACUACAUAGCAUUACUGCGUAUUGAACUACUUUUUCUGUCAAAUUUGUUUUAUAACAUGAUGUUCUGGUGCUUAAUUUGUAAAAUCAUGACCUAAUUUGAUGUUUAAUAGGCUUUUUCUUAAUCUCUCCUUAUUAUCCAACAUAUUCGCUUAUCCAACGUUCUGUCAGCCCGUUUAUGUUGGAUAAGUGAGACUCUACUGUACCAUGAAACAGCAUGACUGAUUGGGAAACACAAUAACAUUUGGUAAAACUGAAGGCAGUAGAAGAGGAUGACUGCAUUAUAAGAAGACAGACCCAGGGUGCAUCAACACUGUAGAAUUACUACAGUUUAACACCACUUUAACUCCCAUGAUUCAUUCUUAUGGAAUCGUGGAGUUGUAGUUUUUCAAGGUCUACAAACUUCUCUGCCAAAUUGUGCUGGUUUUCAUGAUUCCAUCGCAUUCAGCCAUAGCAGGUAAAGUGGUGUCAAACUAUAUAGAUUCUACAGUUUAGAUCAGGGGUCCUCAAACUUUUUAAGUGGAGGGCCGGUUCAUGGUCCCUCAGAUUGUUGAGGGGCCGAAUUAUCAUUUGGAAAAAAACAAACAAAUUCCUAUGCACACUGCACAUAUCUUAUUUGUAGUGCACACCCCACCUAACAACAAUUAUUUAUUUAUUUAUUUAUUUGCUACAUUUAUACCCCCACACUCUCUCACCCCAAAGGAGACAGAGUGGCUUACAAGUUGUAUGUACAUACUAUAUAUAUAUAUCGUGUCAGGAGCAACCGGAGUGAGAGAAUUGGCCGUCUGCAAGGAUGUUGCCCAGGGGACGCCCGGAUGUUUUUGAUGUACAGUAGAGUCUCACUUAUCCAAGCUAAACGGGCCGGCAGAAGCUUGGAUAAGCGAAUAUCUUGGAUAAUAAAGAGGGAUUAAGAAAAAGCCCAUUAAACAUUAAAUUAGGUUAUGAUUUUACAAAUUAAGCACAAAAACUUCAUGUUAUACAACAAAUUUGACAGAAAAAGUAGUUCAAUACACAGUAAUGCUAUGUUGUAAUUACUGUAUUUACGAAUUUAGCACCAAAAUAUCACGAUAUAUUGAAAACAUUGACUACAAAAAUGGCUUGGAUUAUCCAGAGGCUUGGAUAAGUGAGGCUUGGAUUAGUGAGACUCUACUGUAUUUACCAUCCUUGUGGGAGGCUUCUCUCAUGUCCCCGUAUGGAGCUGGAGCUGAUAGAGGGAGCUCAUCCGCACUCUCCCCGGGUGGGAUUCGAACCUGGCAGCCUUCAGGUCAGCAACCCAACCUUCAAGUCACUAGGCUUUUAUCCCCUAGGCCACCGGAGGCUCCUAUAUAUAAUAUUAUUAGCAUAGUACAAUAUUAGCAUUAUAUAUGAAUAUAUUGUACUAUACCACUAUACCAUAAUAUUAUUAGUAAUAUUACAUUUAAUAUAUAAUAUAUAAUUUAUAUUAUUAUAUUAUACAAUAUUAUUAUAUUGUAUAAUUAUUAUUAUUAGCCGCCCUGAGUCCCCUAUUGGGUGAGAAGGGCGGGGGUAGAAAUACUGUAAUAAAUAAAUAAAUAAAUAUUAUAUUGUAUUACAUUAUAAUAUUAUUAUCAAGAUUAUAUGUAUGCACAAUAUAUUAUAUUAUUACCAUAGCACAAUAUUAGUAAAUGAAAGAACAAUACAAUAUUUAAAAAUAAAAACAGUUUUAACCAAGAUACUGAAAACCUUUCAGGAUUUCAAUAGGAAGUUUGCCUGCUUCUGGUCAAUGAGAUAGUCAAGUUAAGUAGGAUUGUUGUUGUUGUGUGCCUUCAAGUCAUUUCAGACUUUGGGCGAGCCUAAGUCUAAAACUGAGGGCGGGGGCCAGGUAAAUGACCUUGGAGGGCCGCAUCCGGCCCCCGGGCCUUAGUUUGGGGACCCCUGGUUUAGAUGAACUCUUGACAUUACCCUGAGUUUGCAAGACCUGAAAAGGAUUGUUAAUAACGGGCUUUCUUGGAGGUCUCUUGCUGAUAAGUCACAAUAAAGCAAAGCCAACUUUACAGCGAUUAACCAUAAUGGCUGUGUGUAUUAUUUUCUCCAGGACAUAUUGCAUAUGUAUAGAUUCUUGAGGCAAGGUGCUUUCAGAAUCAUUGAAGUCCUAGAAUGGGUAUUUCAAUAUCAAAAUUCCAUUCCCAUUUUUAGGAAGAGAGAAUUAUACAUGGCGUCAAAACUACAGUGCAGAGCUCUUGCUUGGAUUAGCAAGCACAAUGUAGCAAUGCUUGGUCUCAUCUGCAGAUUUUCUAUGUAGGUUUGAACUGCCAAUAAUACUCAGCUUUCAUAUCACAUAUUCUGCAGAGAGAGAGAGAGAGAGAGAGAGAGAGAGAGAGAGAGAGAGAGAGAGAGAGAGAGAGAGAGAGGAAGAGAUUGUUUUACUUGUGCAUAUGAGCAACACUGGAGAAAAAUCAGAAGAUGACAGGAAAAGCCUGGAGGAUAUGCAUAGCUCUUGAAACAUUUCUCUGAGAAGGAACGUAUAUCCUGGAAAGAGUAAAAAGAAAAUCAAAUAAAAUCUAGACAGGAGCCCACAGCCUACUCAGUGUGACCAGUACAGAGAGAGUCAUCUCAGUAAUCAGCUGCAUAACCUUGUAACUUUCAAGUAAUGUGGAACCAAAUGUUCUGCGAGGAAUGUAUUCCAUGAUUAUCAAGGAGCUGCUGGUAUGUGAAUUAAGGAAAUGCAGAAGCGAUAGAAAUGUUCUGGUGUUCAGAGUAUUAUCAACAGUAAAAUGGCAUCCUCCAUGAGUUAGUGAGAGGCAUUAAUAAUGCCUCCAACAGUGUCCAUGGAGAGAUGCUAUAGCACAGGGGUGUCAAACUCAGUUUCAAUGAGGGCUACAUCAGCCUUAUGGCUGCCUUCAAAAGGCCAUUGAAUCCAUGGACCAUUGAACCUAUGGAUACAGAGAGUCAAUUUUUUAAAUAUAGUGGUCGGUUCUCUUUAGUUUUUAUUCAGUUUGGGCUCCCAGAUGUUAUUGAACAACAACUUCCAUCACUUUUGAUUAUCUACCAUGUAGAUAAUGGGAAUUGAAACCCAACAGCCCGUUUGGUUCUGAGGUUGGGGAAAGGUUAAAGGACAUCAUAUUCACAAUCCUUGCAUCUCAGUUCAAACCACACUAUCCUGGCUGAACAAAACAAGCAACAGCCUUCCAAAUGUUACUAUAUCCCAAUUCCCAUCAGCUUUAGUCAUGAUGUCUAAUGAUGAGGAACAUAGGAGUUGGUGUCCAGGAUAUGAAGGGCCACAUAAAAUGACACAGUGGGCCAGAUUCGGCCUGUGGGCUUUGAGUUUGACACAUGUACUAAAGCAUAUUGCAAUUAUCCAAGUGAGAUUACAAUGUGGAAAUUCUCUGAUUUCCCAAAGUAGCAUUGUUGUGGUGGCAGAAAAACUAUACUUUAGCAUGAGGGAGAUGGUUGCACCAUUGGUAACACUUAGUAUCAAUUGCUACGGGUCAACAGAGAUCCAUAAACAUGUCAAUUUCAUUCUCUAAUGUGUUUACUUCAUUUUUACUUCACAUUUUCCCCAUCCCGAACAUGAAGAAAUUUACAAAUACAGGUUGAGCAGCCCUUAUCCAGAAAUUCAAAAUGCUUCCAAAUCCAAAAUUGUCUACAUGAGUGGCUAGAGAUAGUGAUACCUUUGUUUCCAGAGACUCAAUGCAUGCAAAUUUUGUUUAAUAGACAAGAUGAUUAAAAAUAAUGUAUAUAAAAUGACCACCAGGCUGUGUAAAGUGUAUGUGAAACAAAUACAUUUUGUUCUUAGAUUUUGGUCUCAUUCUCUACAAGAGCUCAUUAUGUAAAUGCAAGUACAGUAGUCCAAAAUUGGGGCAGGGGGAUCAAACUCUUAAGGCGUAUACUCAACCUGUAUGAAUACAUUCUGUAUUAAGUUCUUAAAAUGUUACACCUUUACAGCCUUAUCACACUGGGGGUAUAAUGUGGGCAACCCUGUUCUUCUGGUGUGAGUAGAAUUCUGGGAAAUGUAGUUUAGGAAGCCAAGGACAUCUGUAGCAGAAGGCCAUGAAAGCCUUCGACAACAAGUGAUAAUGACCAAGAUGAUCAUGAUAUAAUGAGCUGAACAUGUGCUCCUUUCCAUAUAUUCUCACUUGUUUCUCAAUCAUUUCAGUUGGAUCCCUGUUCUAGUAACCUGUUCAAAUCACAAAAUUAUCAAGAGGGGAGGAUGAGAGAAACUGUGUGAUGUGUGCUUUAUUUUAACCACCAGUAAAAUGAUUUCCUCAUAGUCUUAUCUGACAUAUUAUAUUUUUCAGUUUUUGGGGACAUAAUAGAAGAAUCCGUUAUGUUCAUUCCAAUUGGAUAGGAAGCACCAACAUUACAAGAAACAAAGGAUUUUGUGCAUGUUGUUAAUGAACAUGAGAAGGAAAAUGAUAACUAAACCAUUCUUUUGUUCCACACCUCUAACAUUACAAUUCAAAUUACUUACUGUCUGAUUGCUACUGUCUGCUAGGACUACAAUGUGGGUUGCAAAAGGAGUGGUUGGACUUUUGAGGCCAUUACCAUGUUCAUAGCGUUGGUAUGAAACAAUUAAUGUAAGCUGAGGACAAAGCAUGGGGACGGAGAAACAAACUAGGACAAUUCCAAGACAGUUGAAAAAGUAAGGCGAGACAAUUGGAAGGUGUGUAAGCAACCCCUACCCCAAGUCCUUUCCAUAAAACAUUACAGAAUGCAUCCUUAUCACAAUGAUACACAACUUCUGUUUAAAUUGUUGCACAAUGCCUCCUACAAUUUUACUACUACACAACCUAUGAUAAUGACUGCUAUGCAUCUUUUUUCAACUGACAGCACAUUUGCAGACAAUUAACACUGCAAUUAGGAACAUCUUCCAUUAUACCUCUAUCAUUCAAGAAGCAGUGUCUAUUCAUUUGGGAAAGCACUAAGGGCUUUUAUAUUUGCUCUUUGCUACAUCUUGAAUUUCAAAUCCUUCCUGUAUAAUCACAAUCAUUGCCUAACUAGAAUAUUUUACAAGUUUCUAGGUAGGAGGCACUCAGAUCUCAGCUCCAUCAUGUGCUGCUUUAAAUUCAGACGCAGAGGAAUGACUUGGUUAAGGGUUUUUAAAAGUCACUGAUCUGAAUCAAAGAAAUAAGUGUAACAUUGACCUAUCGAUAAUAAAACACUGGUGAGAUGUGUCCUUCUAUUAGCUGUGUGAGAAGUAGAGGAGAGCAGAAAACUGUUCCUGAGUAUUCUCCUUUAUGCUAUUAUUAGGAUUUGAACCUGGUUCUUCAGUCCCAUUUUCUACUCACUACCCUAUAAAUAUACUUGAAUGCAAAUCUGGAUAUCCCCUGAUCUGUAAAACAGAAGGCAUAAUGCAUUUCCCUACCACCAGAUUCAAAUGACAGAGUAGCAAGCCGCAAACACAUUUCUCCCUCCGUCUGACUGACUGAUGGUUUGUCGUGGUGAAGCUGCUGUGUCUCCAGAGGUGAAAGCUGAAGGCAACUGAUAACGUGGUUGAAAUACCAAAAACCUCCAAACCUAAAAUUGCUCACAGCAGCUGGGAGGAAGCCUUGUAAAUCCUGGCAGGGAGAGGCCAUCUUCGGGAAGCAAAACUGACACUCUGUAUAUUUGUCAGCACAAAAUAUUUCCCGAAACAACUGGAGCCAAACGGUUGUAUAAAUCUUCUAUCCGAUUAAUUAGAAAACAUCCUGUAAUACCUGAAAAGGUGAGCUGAAUGACACAUUCGGAUGCAGAAUUUACUGAUUAUUUUGAUGCAUUGCACCUUUAAACUACCCAUGAACCGAAGUUCUCUGUAUGACAUAUAAUAUAUUUACAAUAAAAUGCAGCACUAAUAGGACAAUAAAACAGUAUCAAGGGACUAUUAAGACAAGAUAAAGCACCAUAGAAUAUAAGGUAUAUCUUUGCAUAUUAGUUUGCAUGGUCAGCUAAGGAUAAUGUACUUGUCUCAGGUUGGUUCUAUGUGAUAGAAUUAAUGCAAUUUUGUACUGCUUAAGUUGCCAUGUCUCAAUGAUAUGGAAUCCUGAGAACUGUGAUUUGGUGAAGCACCAGCAAUUUUGGCAGAGAAAGCUAGAGCUGUUGUAAAACUACAACUUCCAGGAUUCCACACCAUUGAGCCAUAAGUCAAGUUGUGUCAAUCUACAUUCCUUAGACAGUGUAAAUGCACCCCAGAGUAGUGGUGCUAUGCUAUGUUGGCACUACUCAGCCCACCCUCGCCUAUAUUAAAUACCAUUGUAAUGCAAUGUAAUGCACAGUUGUCAUCUCAUUGCACAAAACACACAGAGUGAGUAUGCAGUAUGCAAUGCAUUUUGGCACAUGUGCUGACUUUUACUGCCAGCCAAACAUUGCCCCCAGUGGCACAUUGGGUUAAAUGCUGAGCAGCUGAACUUGCUGACCGGAAGGUUGGUGGUUCAAAUCUGGGGAGCAGGGUGAGUUCCCACUGUUAGUCCCAGCUCCUGCCAACCUAGCAGUUUGAAAAUAUACAAAUGUGAGUAGAUCAAUGGGCACAGUUCUGGCAGGAAGGUAAUGGUGCUCUAUGUAGUCAUGCCAGCCACAUGACCUUGGAGGUGUCUAUGGACAAUGCCGGCUGUUCAGCUUAGAAAUGGAGAUGAGCACCAACCCCAAGAGUCGGACACAACUAGACUUAAUGUCAGGGGAAAACCUUUACCUUCACUUUAAACACUGCCAGCAAAUAUGUGGACUGCUAUUUAUCCUCACUUACAAUACCAAUGUGAGGUCCUCCUUCUGUCCCACCCCUAUGGCUUCAAAAUGUGAGGAAUUUCUAGAUGUCCUUGUGGUUCGAUUGCAGCAGGACUUUAUUCAUGUAACUUCUCCACAUGACACCAUUAAUUACCACUACUACAGACACCAUUGUCAGAAUUCAAGCAUUCCUAUUUUCCUUAUGCAGUCUUUUCAGAGGUUCAAGUGUAUACAGAUAUGAUUGAUUAAACAAAAAUUGAACAUAACACCACAGAUUACUACCUCUAAAUCCUGACACAUGUUAACUCUCACUCAACUCUCUCACUCAUAUCCUAACACGAUCUGACACUGUCUCUAACUAAUUGCUAUAUAUGAUCCUGACUAAUUCUCCUAACAUCUUAAAUCAGUUGUUCUCAACCUGUGGGUUCCCAGAUGUUUUGGCCUUCAACUCCCAGAAAUCCCAGAAAUCCUAACAGCUGGUAAACUGGCUGGGAUUUCUGGGGGUUGUAGGCCAAAACACCUAGGGACCCACAAGUUGAGAAGCACUGUCUUAAAUGCUUCAGUCUAAGUGUUACACACAUGCCUUCUGAAACAUCUAAGCCAGCCAAUCACCAGUCAGUCCCAAUAUUGAAUUAUCUCAUCCCCUCCCAACAGAUCUUGAAUUAUUUUUAACUAACCUCACCCACUCCCAGAAGAGACAAUCAAAUUCUGGCUCACUUACUGAUUAAAUAAAGACUUAUUAUGUGCCUAAAAAAACUGAUGGGGUGGGGAAUGAAGUUUGGGAGGCCAUGUUCAAAAGAAACAGAGAGGCUUAUAUGACCCAUAAGUCACGUUUUAUCCACUGAUGGAUUAUUGGGAUGUUAUAUAGAAGUCUUGACUUACAUGAUGAAGAUUUGCAGAAAUAUAUGUGUGUGUAUGUGUGUGUGUGAGCCUUCCCUUUGCAAUGAGGGAUGGGACACGUAGGCUGAGUGCAAUGUUACUUUAUAUGCAGUACUACUUCUCUCCCCAAUAAAAUAUUGGAGAAAAUGAAUAUAGCAGUACCCAAGGAGGGCAGUAAAUAAAAUGUUUUCAGUUGCAUCAGGAAAGUACACAGUUUACUCCUAGUGGUACUGAUAUGGGAAGCUGAAGUGAGUACACUUCAGGUUUUUGCUAGCUUUAAAAGAGCUACCCAUGGUGUUCAAUCCAUUUCGAAAUAGAGUUUAGUGCUUUGGAGAACUACAGUAUUAAAACAAAAAUUGGAUACACUUUCCCAAAUUGUCCAAAAGCCAUCCAGUGCUGCUGCUUUCUCUUGAUCUCUAGCUGUAGCUAGGUAUUUUUCUUUGUGUUGCUCAUCUUUUCAUGGUUCCUGUUAGAUUUUCAGCUCUUAUGUGAGAGAGAUAGGAUGGAAGGAACAGUAUUUUUCCCCAGAUUGGUGAGUAUUGUACAAUAUUUCCCUGCCUCUGUAAAAAAAUCCUACUCCUACGCUAUGUUCUCCUACCUUAAGAAAUUCAAACAACCAAAAGUUCUGUAGUUCUUCUCAAGCACAAUGACAAACAGCUAAAAUGUCAGACAGUUCUCUGGGAAUGCAAAAAGAUAUUAAGGGGGAAAUGGGGGAGCAAUGCUGUUUAAUUGGAAAUGUAUUAUGGUAAAUGGCAAGGAAAAUGCUUAAAAGAAAAGGAUGAGUUUCAAUCAGAGGGAAGCAAUUUAAUCUAAUUUUGUCAGCACAAAUCGACAGCAGGAUGAGGUAAAAGGAAUUGCAGUUCUAUUUAAAUAGGAGAAAUGAUUCCUAAAUGUGUAUCUGUGUACGUUAAUUAGCAUUUGCGGAAUGCAUGCAUCCGUCAGUAGUUUUUUGAUGAUACUUUUUUUUUUUUUACAAAGGGGCAAUGUAUAACUGGCUGACCACAUGAGAGUCAUAAAAUGAUAUUCAUUUGGACAAGCCUGUAGAAUGUGUGAAGAACAUCAUGGAAGCUUAGAACUGGAAGGGACCACAAGGGCCAUCUAGACCAAUCUCUUGCCAAGCAGCAAGGCACAACUAAAGUACUCCUGAACGCUGCUUACCCAAAUUAUAUUUAGAGACCCUCAAAGAAGAAAAGUCCACUACCCUUUGCAAAAAUGUAAAAAAAAAAAAUCCUUCUAGGACUUCCAAGUGGGGUCUGACCAAAGCAGAAUAGAGAAUGGUCAAUAUUUCCUUGACUGAAACAUUUUGCUCCUGCUGAUGCAACCCAGAAUUACAUUAUUUUUACUGCUUCAUCAUAUUGUUGACUCAUGUUGAGUCUGUAGUCUGUUGAGACCUAAAUCCUUUUCUAAUAUGCUGCUUUUCAAACCAGGUAUCAUCUAUAUUUAUGCAUUUCAUUUUUCUUACCUAGCUGUUGCAUCUGAAAUAUAUUCCUGAUGAAAUUCAUUUUGUUAGUCUUCAUUACUCUCUAGUCUGUCAAAUCAUUCUGAAUUCAGAUCCUAUCCUCUGAGUUAUGAGCUGCCCCCUAAUUUGGUGUUUCCCUGUAAAUUUAAUAAGCAGGCAUUGUCUAAGUCAUUUAUAAAAAUGAUAAACAAUAUUGGAGACAAGGCAGAACCAUAAAAUACAUCACUAGUUACUUUUCUCCAGAAGAGCAACCAUUGGUUAUUAGAGUACUCUCUGAUCAAAAUAGCCCAUUGUAUGUGUCUAAUCCAUCCUAGGAGUUCAGUAUUUUUUUUCUCCUGGCAAACAAUGUAUGUUUUCAGAGAAAACAAAAUACAUAACAGUCCAUAUCAGAUUUCUGGUAGCUCAUUUUAUCUCUUGGAAAGGGUCACCCAUUGAACAGGCCUUCAUAUGGUGUGAGAAUCAUUAUUGAAUAAAAACACUCUAUUGGAGUUUAACUUGGACCAAGAAGAAGCAUCCUGCUGUACAGGUGGCCCUCUGUAUCCUUAGAUUCUACAUCUAGGGACUGAAUAUAUUUAAAAAACCAAUUUUUUUGGUUGAAAGAAAAAACACGAUUUUGCCAUUUUAUGUAAGAGAGGCCAUUUUGCUGCACCACUCUAGAACCCAUAGGUUUUAAUAUCUAUGGGAGACCUGGAUCCAAGUCCCAGAGAAUGGCAAGGGCCCACGGUAUUUCAAGACUGGUUAUUAUCUUUUCUUUUCCAUUUUAUUUUAAUUAGCUUUUCUAAUAGGUUGAACAGUGAGGCCUUUGAUUUAUUUCAGUGUAGUGUUGUCAGAUUGGUUGCAGGACAGAGCUCCUUUAACUUUAACUCUUAACAGAUUAAGCAUGAAGAGGGACCAUAAAGCCAGACAAAGGUACCUUUCAUUUUCUAAGCUCAAACCUGCAGCCAUAGAAGAUGAUAAGAACAAUACUAAGUACAGCUGUAUUUCCCCGUUACCUUUCAUUCCAUUAGGAAGACAGUAGACACAUUGCAAGGAGAUUGCUAUGGAUGAAAUUUUGGGUCUGGAAGAUGAUAGAGAUAGAUUCAUCCUGCUUGAUGGAGCUUUGGACUACCUUGUCCUGCUCCAAGGACUACAGAGUGGGAACUAUGUCCUCUCCCUCAUCCAACCUGGCAAUCAUCUUUCAGUUGAGCUUUUCUAAAAGAUUGACUGCAUCAGGGAGGUUUGUUCCUAAUGCACUGCUGGCCUUGAAAUGUGAAAAUCAGAACUAGAGCCAAAAUGCAAAGAUUUAAUAGAUGCUGCAUGUUCUUCCUGAAGAUAAGAGCCUCGUCCAAGAUUGCCCAUGUUGGCCUUUCAUUGUAAAGAAUAUGUUUAGUUCUGCAUACUUCACUUUGAAAUUGAUAUGAGUGGAAAUUUCUGAGAUUACCAAUAGUCUAAGAGUCUAGAACAGUGGUGGCACCCUUGGUAUGGGUACUCCGUCUCUUAAAGGGUUGCUAUCACUGGUCUAGAGGCUCAAGGAAAAGGUAAAGAAAAUGAUUAGUUGUAGCAGAAAUUGUUCAUUUUUUACUGUGUUACCUCUUCAAAUAAUAACUAAACCACGUGGGCCUUUUAUUAUGUCACUUCACAUGACAAAGUUUUCCAAUGUGUGUGUUAUCCUGUCCCACGCUGUGAAUUGUCCCCACUUGCCCUCAAUGAUGUCACCAAUUAGCUAAAACUGAUAGGCUGGGUAGCAGUUUAAAAUCAGCAUGUGAGCUCUGGUUGGAAAGGAUCAAAGGUGACUAAUCCAGAAAGGAUUUUGAAUAAUCCUGAAAGCUGCCAUGUAUGUGUAUGUGAGACCAGAAAAAAGGGAACAAAAACUAUACAUAAUUGCACAAUCUACAAUUCUCCCCCACCCCCAAUUACUGCUCCUAGCUUUGUCCAAGGGCCUCAUCACACUCGAGCAUUUACAUCCACUAUAUUCCACUUUAAAUGCUGUGACUGCCUCCUGCAGAAUUCUGGGGUUUGUAGUUUAGGGAGGCCCAGUUUAAAGACACCUCCCUAAAUUACAAACCCCAGAAUUCUGCAAGAGGCAGUCACAGCAUUUAAAGGGGAUUAUAAAUACUCACAUGUGAUGAGACGGUUAAAUAUAUAAACUAUUUCAUAGGACCAGUUUCCAUAAAGUUCUCAACAGUUGGCUUUCCAGAUGUUUUAUACUUCACCUUCCAUAAUCCCUGAGCAUUGCCUAAGUUGGUUGAGCUUCUGGGAGUUGAAGUCGAAACAUCUUGAAGGCUAGGGCAUAAUACACGAAUUGUGCUAGCUUCAAACUUAAAUAGAAGAAGUCACUCAACAAAUGUAUUAAGGUUGUUUCCAGGUGCCUAAAACAAGAGACCAAGUAUGGGAAUAGUGUAGCUCUCUAUAUAUUGUUGAACUGUAAGUCUCAGCAGCCCUAGCCAGCAUAGUCAGUGAUAAGCAGUGCUAGGAACUACAAAUUGACAACAGGUGAAGUACGCAAAAUUCUACUCCUACAAUAGAGCAAUGGGAUUUGGUGAACCCUUGUUGGUAGGAGAAUUCCAUUAGAUAAGUCCUGUUACAGGGAAAGCUCCACUCCUUAAAGCUGUCCUUUCGCAGAUUUAUACAAUGAGCCCAUCUAUUCUCACUGCCACCUUGUGCACAGGUGUUGUAUAUGUCAUACACUUAUACACACAUUGCACUAUCAGUUUGGCUGAAAUAUGAGAGCCAAUAGAGACCUUACACAAUGUAGUCCAAAUUAUCGCCUGAAGUCCCAGUUCAACAAACCCAAGCUUCUUUCAACCUGAGGUUCUGCCUGUGCCUUUCCUAGAAGUUAAUCUUUCCCAAAGCUGUUAUGCUGCUCGAUUUCUGUACCACUUUGGGCCCUAGUUGUGCCAGCUUUGUAUCAUCAUGGUACCAAUGGGGAACUAAUAAAUCUUUUGGUGCUGCUAAUUGCCUGGGAUUAUGAACACAGUGAGGAUACCAAGCACUUAACAGGCUACAAUAUAAUACCAGAAGUGAUCCAUUGACUUGGUUGAUUACUCAAAUUCCAUCAUGGUGACUUAAGGUACUAUCGAUCCUCUGAGUGGAUGAAUUUGACAUGCAAUCUUCAUUUACUUCCCAGCUCAACAACUGUAUGACUAGUAGAAGUUGCUGGAUUAUGCAGACAGCUGCCCCAUUGAACUGGAAAUGGGAGCAUUUGAGGAUUUUCAACUGAUUCUACUCAAGCAGGCUGGAAAGCAUAUGAAAGAGCUCAUGUUCCUGGUCAAACUUGUCUAUACAACAAGGUCUUCAUGGCCUCUGCUGUGUACAUUUACUCAUGGUUGUCCUUAAGUCCUCGGUCCUGCCUCCUCUUUGUUUGUACUAUUUUCUCCUGAAAACUGAUUAUCUCACAGAGUUCCUGACCUCUUUUUGGGAUGUAAACUCCAUAGGUGAGGAUUAAUACUUUCUGUAUUUCUCUUGUUACUGAAGGAUAAAAUAUUUCCUUACAGUUUUUUCCCAAUAUUCAAAUAUCCCAAAGUGUUUGAGGAGCUUACUCUGUGCAGAAAAAUACUUUUGUGUGUGUAAAGUGUGUAUGUAUAUGUGUGUGAGAGAGACAGACAGACAGAAUGUUUUUGCAUGUGUGUAUGUGUCUGCCUUGGAGAGUAGGAUACUCUCCCUCCUUGGAGAAAUAGGACGUGGUUGGAUGGAUGAAAUUAUCAAGGAUGCUUUAGCUGUAAAUUUUUGUACAAGUAUUGGUUUUUUUAAAAAAAACAUUCCAAGUCAGGAAUGUAAUGAUUCCAUUCUGAGGUACAUCCCAGAUAUUUAAAGGAGCUAUCCAAGGUGCUAAACCUAUUUGAAAGAUUCAGAAAAAUGAACAGUUCCUUCAAAGUAGGGUGGGCAAAGUCAACUACAUGCUGCCCUUGUACCUCAAAGUGUGGGUCCUAAAGACCUCAGAGCCCAACAUCUAACCCUUGACACCCAUAAAAAAUGAGGGGAUACAUGAAUUUUAAUGCAGAAACUGAACUACAGUCCCCAUUACCACACUCCCUUCAACCCACAAAGUUCUCCAAAAAGGGAAAAAUUGCCAAAAUGGCAGCCUGAAACAAUAUUACAGUACAUUUGUCUCAUUGGAAUAUUUUAGUAGAAGCUGCCGGGCAGGUAGAAGGGGGGAACGUUUUCUCCCCAUUCUGAACUUGCGGUUAUUUUAAAGUCUGGAAAAUACUCCAGUAUAAAUUUACCAAAUUCAGCCAACCAUGGCCCUUUCAGUCUGCUCUAAUUCUGUGUGUCUGUGUAUAGUGACCUCCACAUUUGUGGGUGUGACUAUUGCAGGCUUGACAAUUCAUGGAUUUGAUUUAAAUGUCCUUCAGUGCAAUUCUAUGGUCAGUGUCCAACAUAAGUUGACUGUAGAAUCAUGCUGGAGGACCUAGUAAUUCCUAAAGAAGUGUUCUCACAAGUUAGAAAUCGGUAUUGUAAAAUCUGUGGUUUUUCACUUCCAUAGGAAACCUGUGCCUAGAGUGCUGACUGUACUUACUAUGGGUUGCACAAGCCAUGUUGAGACCAUCCUCUGUUUUAGGAAUUGAAAUCAUAAUGAAUAGAUAUUUUGCAUCUCCUUGCCAGGCAACAAACUGAGGAAGAGAUUUCACAGUUCUAAGAAGCAGACGACAGUUCAUGGGGGAAGAUGGGGGGGGGGGGGGAGGCGUACCAGGACCCGUCUGAUGUGAAACAAGCUGCCCAUCUAAUCUCCCGCUCACUUGGCAGCUUCAGUAAUAAUCUCAAUGAAUCAAACAAGCACAGAGUCUCCGGCCACAUUACCAAGCUGACAAACGGAAAGGGCUGCCUGCUGCCAAGAGGCCAUCUGCAAGUAUCAAAUGUAUUCACGGAUGGCGCAAAGCCCAGCCAAGGCUUGGCCAGCAUUAAGGGAAAUAGCCCAUUGUGUUGUACAAGCCUGUGCUCUCCCCCCCCCCCCCCCACCAAACUCAUUUCUUCAUACAAAGGCCAAAAGGCAGAUAUCUAACCUGCUGAUUUCUGAAAUGACUAAAUGUUACAAAUUGCUCAUGAGCUUAUGGUAGUAGAACAGAGUAGUGCAGAGUAACCCUCCAGGGCACCUUGGGAACCAUUGUUCCUCCCUAAACCACAUUUUUUAUAUAUAUAUAUAUAUAUAUAUAUAUAUAUAUAUAUAUAUAUAUAUAUAAUAUUUUUAGGUAAAAUACAUCCCAUGCCCACUUGAAAGUAAAAGGCAAUUAUGCCACAUGGUGGCCAUUAUAGACCCAAGAAAGACCCAUUUCUAACUGGGAAUUCUACCCAGAAUCCAUUUAGGGGCUCAUUACAUAUGAAGAUCAGGUGGAGCCUGUGCAUUUUGUAUGAUAGAGUACAAUUCCAAUUCCUAAGUUUAAUUUUUUUUAGCAAAGACAAUAGUUACAACAAUGUUCAAUCCUUUUUCUUUGCCCGUUUGAAUCCAUCCCCAUUGACCACCUUUCCAAAUGGGGUUGGUUCUUUGCUGCCUGCAUCUUCAUUAAAAACCAUUUCUCCAUGCUGAUUUUUGAGCUAGAAUAUCUAGUUACACAGUGCCAAAAAUGACCAACACAAAUUCAUCUCCAAAACAAAAGGAUUAUAGGACAGAAAUGUGCAUAGAUGUCCAUAUCACAGUUUAAAUGUAGUGAUGAUCUGGAAAUAAUAGUCCUCCUAACCUCAAAAGAAAUGCAACACAUCUCUCCCCUUAGUGGAAAAAUGGUAGCUGACUGUCCUACACAAAACAGAAGCUCAGUGAACAUCAGUCAGGAGUGCUAAAAUUGUGUAUUCCUGCAUUGUGUGGGAUCGGACAGGAUGCUCCUUGUUGUCUCUUCCAACUCUAUGAUUCUAUGAUUAUAUAGAUAUGCUGUCAAUGAGCAACUUGAACACUCCAUCUGCUCUUCCUUAUAAAUGUGUGCAUAUGUCUUCAAGUCACCUGUCGAUUUAUGAUGAUGCCAUGAAUUUCUUAGGGUUUUUUUAAGGCAAGGAAAACUCUGAGAUAGUUUGCUACUACCUUAAUCUGAAAUAUAGCUGACAGCACUUGAUAGUCAUUGGUGGUCACCUGCCCAAGUAUUAAGAAGGACUGACUCUCUGUUUAGUUUCCAUGAUCAGACAGAUCUAGUGCCUUAAGGAUGUUUAGAUAUUUCUUUAUCAUGAGGUAGAGAUGUCAUUUGCUGAUAGUUUUCUUCACAAAGGAAAUAACAAGUAAUUUUAGCAAUUAUGUUCUCACUGCAAGAAAGUCUUCCAAAACAUCCAGAAGUAUUUUCCCCAACCCCCUCAAAAAUAAUUACAAUGGAAACAAAAAUAUUCACCACUCCAUAAGCUAAAUAGUGAGAGAAAGCAGCCUACAUAUAUAUUGUUAAGGGGGGAAAUCCCAUGAGCCUCGCCAUUCUAUAUAAUGCAUUGUACAUAAAAUAGUAACAAUCCCAUAUUAAGAGAUCUAAAACUAGACAGCUAUAUAGAAAGUGAUAAAAUAUAAAAGAACAUAAAAUAAGUAUGAGAUUUGACAAGGAGCUGGCAACAGACUUAUUUCCAAGUCUUCUUUAGUCUGUUAAGGGCUGAUAAACAUGUUAUAUUUUAAAUUCUAUACAAUUUUGUUGUUGUUUAUUUGUUCAGUUGCUUCCAACUCUUCGUGAUCUCAUGGACCAACCCAUGCUAGAGCUUCCUGUUGGCUGUCGCCACCCCAGUUCCUUCAAGAUCAACCAGUCCUACAAAUAAAUGAAAUUGUAAAUAAGCUUUCCUCCCAUAUAUUAAGACUGUAACAGAUUCUAAAGAUGUUUUAUUAUCAGUUCAAGAAACAAGGAAUAUAGAUUAUGCAUUAUACUAAACCAGACUAUUUGUCCAUGAGCCCAGUAAUGUAUAGUCUGACUGGCAGAGUUUCUCCAGGGUUAAGUCAGAAGAUCUUUCUCAUCAUUCUUCUCCUUUUAUUGGGGAUGCCAGGAGUUGAAUGCUGGAUAUUCUUGUAUAGCUUAUGCCAUGUUCCCAACUAUAAUUUUUCCUUUUAAAAAAGGACAAUGCAGUUCCCAGAGCAUUUGAGUUCCAUUUCAAGGACUAACACUUGAGAGACUGCCAGCAGAGAAUGAGAGGUAUAGCCAUCAAUAGUGAAAUAUGACCCAAAGAAGCACCUGAGAAAGGAGGAAAAUGGAACAGAUUUCAUAUCUCACACAAACAUCAUGAGCUGGGUAAAUUCAUCUUCUGAAAUAGCACUGAUAUUCUUGCUCUGGUGUUAUCUUUGCUCCCUCUUUCAGGCUGCAGAGCUAACUUGGCUCAGUCCCCUAAAUCUUCUAUUCCCAGGCAUCCUUCAAUAUGCUGCUCAUUUGCAGCAGAUCCAUAUUGCUCUGAAUGCUCUCUGUGGCACACAGCCAUCAUGGCAUUGUCAGUUCACCCAAGGGAGCCGGGUGAUUCUGGCUGGCUCUGUUCUGGCAAAUGAUGAAAGCUGUAUGUCAUGCCAUUUCAAUGGCUUUUUUUCUUGACUUUAUAUAUUUUCUGAUGGACUCCAUUUUCAGUAUAUUAUGCAAAAUAUCUAGGGACAGAUACUUGGUCUAGGUUUGCAUAAUGUAAUUCUACUGAAGAGCUUAAUCUACAUGGUGUGGAUAGAUAUACUAGGUAGGUAGGUAGACUGCUGGUUCAUUAAACAUGGCUGUGCUACGUAUGAACUCCCCCUUUCAUCAACUGAAAAACCCAGUCCUUUGAUAUAUGAGCCAUGCAGCAAUAAGCAACAUUGAUCACAAUUUUCCGGUUUGGUUGCUUUGCUUACUAUUGUUUUAUGAAGCACACAAAGUUAUGACAGUAUGACUCCCUCACUCACAGAUUUGAUAGACCUAAAAAGAAAUACCUGCUCCACCACCCCAAAGGUGUUUAUGGGCCUCCCUAGAUUCUCCAGUGGUCAAGGGGGGAGGUGGUUGUAAACAGGCAUGGGAUUGUGGAAAAAGGUAAAAGGCUCCAAGCCGAUGUAGAUAAACUGCAUAGAGGUUGCUGCUUAUAGGAGGAACCUUGAAAUGUAAUGUAGUGUAAUGUAGACAGAGAUGGUGAACAUGUGAGAUGGAGAGAGAAACAAGGAGUGUGUUUGUGAGAAAAGGGGAGAAGAGGAAGAUGAGAGUGUGUGGAUCUUUGUGUAUAGAAGAGAUGAGAAGAUUUUAGUCUGCUCUACAAUGUCAAUAUAUGCUUUUUAAAUUAAUGAUGGGGCUAUACAUGUUUCAAGUAUCUACUAAAACCAAUGCCUCAGUAAGCUUUGCAGACCUUAUUCCUUGGAGCCAUAUACUCAGCCAUGUAUGACUUGAUUUGUGACACAUUGGAAAAUAUGACAACAUUGGAGAAUCUUUGCAGAAAAAUUCCACUGAAUAGUAGUCUUGGGCAUUUGUAUGGAAUCACUACCGUUUCUAUUUAUACCAUUCGAAUGGCCCCAUUUUCAUUUCUAUCUGUUGUUUACGGAAACAGAUGUUUAUAUGAAUGGGCUUUUCCAUCCUAGGUCUGAAAAAAAAAGAUUUUUUGAGCCUUGGACGUCAAAGUGCCAGGGCCUGCCAGCCAGGGCCUACAGCCAAGCAGGCCUGGUGCUCGGCUGUAGGCCCUGCGAGCCAGGCCUAUGAGCCAUUGAGUGCUUGAUGGCUCAUAGACCUGGCUUGCAGGGCCUACAGUCGAGUGCUCAAUUGUAGGCCCUGCAGGCUGGGCCUACAAGCAUCGAGCUCUCGAUGGCUUGCAGGCCCGGCUCACAGGGCCUACAGUCAAGCGGCGAAUGCUCAAUGCUUGUAAGCCCUGCGAGCUGGACCUACGAGCAUCAAGCACCCAACGCUUGGCUGUAGGCCCUGGCUGGCAGGGCCUACAGCCAAGUGUUGAAAAUCAGCUGGCCAAACGGCUACCAUUCCCAUUUUUCUUAAAUUCCACUGCUUCUUGUGUUCUCAGGGGGUUGUAGCCAUUUGUGCCAUCUGAAUGGACGGAAUGAUACAAAAUCACAAAAAACAAAAACAAAAAAACACCAUAACAGAUGAAACAAGAUUCAGUCCCUACUCUACUGAACAGGCUUCUUUUUCUUCAAUAAUGUGUCUUCAUAGUUACAAAUGAAUGUUAAUUUAGCUUGAGAUAUAAGAAUAUUGUUUUCUGUGUGACAAAAGCCACAAGUCAGCCAUGUUGGCUUUUGGCACUGGUAUUCCCAGAAUCUCCUUCAUCAGAUGGAUUUCUAGGAUUCUGAGAGUUUUAGACCCCCGAACUAAAAUUUGCAAGUCAUUUUCAAACCAAGAAGUGUUAUCACUACUGUAUUUAUUAUUAUUUUUUUGAGCACAACACUUGAUAUCAAUCAUGCAAAAACAUAUUGACUUGGUCUAUAUGAUGAAGAUUUAUUGUAAUUUCCAAAAGGCUGAGAAACCAGCCCUGACUGGCCCUUUAGAAAUAAAUAUCUGGAGUUAAUUCAAGAAAACAAAACGAUCCAUAAGAAUGACCUCUCCCCAGACAAAUAUGAUUAAUGAUGUGUACUGAACUGCUUGCAUUUCUUAAAAAAUGCCCUUUCUAUAGUUAACAUUUAGCAGGGAAACUGCACCCAAAAUCAAUUUUAAUGUGCAACAUUAGGUCUAUGGUUGUAAUUAAAUAAAUAAAAAUAUAAAAUGAAGGUUCUGCCUUCAUCUUUCAUGACAGGUGACUGUACCAUUACUUUAAAUUUGCAGUUCUUUUUUUCAAUCGGAUGUAAACUUGUCGUCUUUAUGCCUUUUAAGAUUAUGUAUUUUGAACGAUUUUGGAUGUUCAUGGAAAAAGUAAAAUUCUCAGAAGAUAUAUGUCUAAUCAAUAGUAUUUUCUCUCAAAUGUCCAUGGAAUUCCCUAUUCUACAGUUGGAUUUGAGACACAAUUAGGAGUUGGGGAGAACCAUCCAUGUUAUGGCAGAUGUGUUGGGAAAUAUAAGCCAUGGAGAAUAUGGAAGUAUUGUUCUUUUUUGGACAAUAAUUCCAAAGCCCUCAACAUGGCUGGACCAUUUCUACUUCUCUAUUGGAAGGUGUUCAUAUGAAGGAGAUGUCCAGUCCAGGUCCAAUUUCAAGAUCAAGUUCCCUAGAGAUAACAGUCCAUUGAAAGCUCAUGCUGAACCAGCUAUUCUGAUAAUACCUUACUUUUUUGAAAACAAAGGUGCCUUUCACACAACAUGAGUACUGCAAGAUGAUUCUGUUUUGUCAUGGCUGAAACCUAUGAAAUCUUCGAAAUACGCUUUUUGGAAAGACACCGGAACUCCCUUUUAUUUUCAUUGAAAUUUUUAUUUUCUUUGUUUUAGUUGUAUUACUCAGACAACUGGUAUCCUUCGGUGCAUUUCCUAUACUGUAGUUAUUCUACAGUUAUAUAAUGCAGUUUGAACUAUGUCAACUACCUUGGAUCGAUACUAUGAAAUCCUGGGAUUUGUAGUUUGGUGUGGAACCAGCACUCUUUGACAAAGCAGCGUAAAGAUCUGGUAAAAGUGCAACUACCUGGGUUCCAUUGCACUAAACAAUGGCAAUUAAAAGUGGUGUCAGACUGCAUUAAUUCUACAGUGUAGAUGCACCCCUUAUCUCCUCGCUGCACCACACAGAACUGCAAGCCUUUUUUGUAUAUUAAUGAACAUAUACCCAUAUUUGAAAUGCAUUUUCCCUAAUGUAUUUAUUUAUUCAUUUCCCUGAUGCACUUUUUUUUUUUGCUAUGUGCAUUUUAACCUUGUACUUUUUUUUUUUGAAAUAAAUGCCUGGUUUUAUAAAUUUCCUUUUCUUUGCCAAAAUGCAUCGCAAGCACAUAUAUUACAAUGGCAAAAUGUGUUCUGCUUUAUUGUGAUGCUUGGGUGCAUAAAGGUUAUUUUCACAGGGAAAGGUGAGCCUGUCAAAUUUCUUUUACUUCCCAAAAUACACACUGAAUGCAUUGUGUGUGAUGUUUUCCUAGCAGAUUCAUAAUUUGUCCUUUAAUUUUCCCUACACUCACAAAGUAUUAUUUAUAUUGGGUUAGAGCUGUCAAGGCAGGUGUAUGUAAAUGAAGCAAGCUCAAUAAAUAAUAAUGUAUAUAUACAUUAUCCCUUGACUGAGCGUUCAGCAUCCCUACUGGACUGGGACCAAUUAUUAAAAUGUGGGGUAAACCAUUAACAGUUGACCAGAUCUACAGAGACAAGAUGGAAAAACAAGCUUUAGUGUUUUGGGUCCCAGCCCCAACUCUUUUCUCUUUCCUUCUACUAAAACAUAACGUGAAAUAAUUAAAACAAAACAAAACAAAACUGCGUACCACUGUAAUAUUUGUAAUUAUAUGCAAUAACAUCUGUUUAAUGCUACUUGCACAACUGAUUUAAUGAUUACCAAAGUACCGUUCUACUUUAGCAUUAAUAUUAUUCAUAAUUAAUUGUUGCCACAUCAGAGAUUUCCCCCUUUUUACAUUUUUGUUUUCUUUUAUUUCUGUAAAAUGACUAAAUCAUCUCUCCCUGCUUUGCAAGUCACUUGACUUUUUUCUAAAAUUGGAUUGUAUCAGAAUUGGUUUAAGUGCUUUUAUUUCAGAUUUUGAGAUAAGUGCAGGAGGAGAUAUCUUGGAGAUGGGGUCCAAAUCUAAACAUAAAAUUCAUUUAUGUUUCAUAUCCAUCUUAUGCACAUAAUCAGAAGAUAAUUUUAUUCAUAAUAGAUUCAAUAAUUUUGUUUGUUGAUAUGGAAGCUGUGAACAAUCUCAACUGCCUUGGAUUUUGGAAUAUUUUUGAGUUCCUGAAAAGGGACUACUCAACCUGUAUGGUGAUUCAAAGAUUAACAACUCUAGUAUCUGAUCAAAAUGGAAGAAGAUGCCAUGGCACAUGAAAAAGAGCAAAUGUGUCAUUAUGGAGAAAAAUGUGGAAAACAAAACGGUGUGAAAACAUAAUAUUGUCUCCCUGUUGCUUUCAUUUCUGAUUUGCUCAUAUAUUCAUUUGAAAAAAUCACAAGUUAAUUUUAACUAUGGGAUAGAUCUAUUGAGUGGAGGAUUUAAACAGAUGCCCAAUUGACACUUUAUUGACAAAAGUAUUCUGUUUCCAGGUGGCAUGUGUCCAAGAGAUUAUAUUUUUGACCAAGAAAUCACAAAGGAGGAAUCAAGGCAAUUCAAAAUCAUACAGAGAGAAUCUAGAAGAAGAAUAGAUAUUGGCUAAACAGUGCAGAAGGAGCCCCGGCGGCGAAGUGUGUUAAAGUACUGAGCUGCUGAACUUGCAGACCGAAAGGUCCCAGGUUCAAAUCCUGGGAGCGGCAUGAGCAGCCGCUGUUAGCUCCAGCUUCUGCCAACCUAGCAGUUCGAAAACAUGCCAAUGUGAGUAGAUCAAUAGGUACCGCUCUGGCGGGAAGGUAAUGGCGCUCCAUGCAGUCAUGCCAGCCACAUGACCUUGGAGGUGUCUACAGACAACGCCGGCUCUUUGGCUUAGAAAUGGAGAUGAGCACUAACCCCCAGUCAGACAUGACUGGACUUAACAUCAGGGGAAUCCAUAUGAAUGAGCUUUAGCUGUGUUAAUUCGUAGCCAGCUGCACAUCAGCACAGCUGCCCUCAUUAUUCCAGUAUUUUCAUAUCACUGUCCCAAUUUAGAAGGAAAAGUCUCAGUUAAUCCUCUGCUUCCCCCACUUUUUCAGAAUUUUUAUUAUGUCCCAGCUUCUCAUAGAAUCAUAGAAUCAUAGAAUAGUAGAGUUGGAAGAGACCACAUGGGCCAUCCAGUCCAACCCCCUGCUAAGAAGCAGGAAAUCGCAUUCAAAGCACCCCUGACAGAUGGCCAUCCAGCCUCUGCUUAAAAGCCUCCAAAGAAGGAGCCUCCACCACGGCCCCGGGGAGAGAGUUCCACUGUCGAACAGCUCUCACAGUGAGGAAGUUCUUCCUGAUGUUCAAGUGGAAUCUCCUUUCCUGUAGUUUGAAGCCAUUGUUCCGUGUCCUAGUCUGCAGGGCAGCAGAAAACAAGCUUGCUCCCUCCUCCCUUUGACUUCCCUUCACGUAUUUGUACAUGGCUAUCAUGUCUCCUCUCAGCCUUCUCUUCUGCAGGCUAAACAUGCCCAGCUCUUUAAGCCGCUCCUCAUAGGGCUUGUUCUCCAGACCCUUAAUCAUUUUAGUCGCCCUCCUCUGGACGCUUUCCAGCUUGUCAACAUCUCCCUUCAACUGUGGUGCCCAAAACUGGACACAGUAUUCCGGGUGUGGUCUGACCAAGGCAGAAUAGAGGGGGAGCAUAACUUCCCUGGAUCUAGACGCUAUUCCCCUAUUGAUGCAGGACAGAAUCCCAUUGGCUUUUUUAGCAGCCGCAUCACAUUGUUGGCUCAUGUUUAACUUGUUGUCCACGAGGACUCCAAGGUCUUUUUCGCACACACUGCUGUCAAGCCAGGCGUCCCCCAUUCUGUAUCUUUGAUUUCCAUUUUUUCUGAAAAAUUUUUCUCAUCCUCCUUCUCCUUUUUUUUCCUCUUUGUCUUCCGCUUCCUUCAAAUGCUGCCAGAUGAGUUCAAGGUACAAAAGCAGUUUGCACUCAAUGGGUGGAGAAAACACCAAUUUCUCUGUAAACUCAACCAAAAGUAUCACCUCUUCACCUGCUGGUGGAAAAAGAUCAGAGAAGGGGCCAAUCAGAUCUUGCAUGGAAACGAGUUCAACAGCCUGGGAUCAGACAUGGAGAAGACUGUUACACUCCAGGCCUCGAAACACCUAUGGCCACUACACCACACAAGAGUCCAGGAAUAUAAGUAAACCGUUUAUUUAAAAAAAAAACAUAUUAAAAACAUAUACAACUCAGGAAUAAGAAAGGAAGAAAGAUUCAAACAAGAGAACCAAACAAUAAUCCAAAUGUCUCAUAAAAUUCCAAAGGCAACAAAGUCCAGGAACAGCCAGAAAUCACAGAUCCAGCAUAAGUCCACAAUCAGGAAGAUAUAACUAAUAAGACUUGAACAGAAGUACAUGAAUAGGAACAUAAAAAACUUCCAGGAUAUAUUAAAUCCAAAAUCAAAGCUUGACAUUAACCAGGAAUAAGAGAGCUCAGGCUUAGCUUCUCCCUCUAACACAAUGUUGCCUGAAUUGACCUUAAGGUAAACAACUUGUUGCUUACACCCAUGAAAGCAUUCCAUUUCCCAUGAAUUUAUUUCAGAACUUUGCCACAUAAUCUCUCUGAAUGACAUAAUCUAUUUUCUGCUCUGAUUAGUAGAGCAGAAACCCCCUUAUCACUCAACUCUUCACUCCAUUCCUUAUCUGCUGUUGCUACUUCUGACUCCUCUGAAUGCCCUUGAGGUCCUGCACUUUCCGAACCAGUUUUCUCACAGAAAGAACCAUCAUUUCCCAGACUUGAGGGCUCAUCAUUUUGUGCCACAGGAAAGCUCACAAUCCUCUCUAAUAAAUCAUCAGUUAAACCACCAGCCUCUGGUGACUGAUCUACAACUAAAGCUGUCUUCCAAGUUCUCACCAAUAAUUCUGGCAAAGGUGGUGGGACCAAAAGAAAGCCCUUCCUUGUGAUCUGAAUGCUUUCACUGACUUAUAUAAGGAGACACUGUAUGCUCUUUCAGAUGGUCUGGAGUUGCGGGGGUUGAACUAGAGAGCCCUUGCCUUCCCUUCCAACUCUUGCUCCAGUAUCCCAUUCUGAGGUCUGCUGAUACAGCACAGGAUAUAAACUUCAAUAGUAACAUCUCCCAGUUAAUAUUCACAUUGCCUUCAGGCACUUUUCUUCCCUGUUUGUCUCUUCUCUCCUUACUUUCAGUAAUCCUCUUUCUUGUAUUACAUUGCUCCAUUGAAAGUUUUAAUGGGUUAUGAUCACAUUCUCCCUGGAGGACCCUUCCCUGGAACUUGGCACACAACCUCAUUUACUGGAAAGCUUCCCAUGAGAGCAUCCAAACUUUCUGGGAAGUGAACUUGCAUCAGAUGAGAAAAUCAAUCAACAAGGCUUACGAGUUUAUGUCCAAGGUUGCGACCGGUGGAUACUUCAGACAAGGGAGAGCUUUAGGGGAUUUAUAGAAUGGGAGGUGGAAAUUGGAUCAUCAAAUCACUUUGCUCAAUUUAUUUCGCAUGCCUUGCCAUGGAUUAUAGACAACUUUCCCCUGGAGUAUUCUGCUUACAUAAAGUGGCUGCUUUACCAUGCAACCCAUGUUCAGUUCAAUAGGCUGUACUUCAAGGAAAAAUGCAUUGAAUUGCAGCUUUUAAAAUCUAUCUAAAAGUAUUUUUAAAGGGAGCUGAUUUAUUUCUUAGAUUUGUAUAUCUGCUAUUGUUUUACACUUCCCAUUUCUCAGAUUCUUAGGAAGUCUCUGGAGUAGCACAUGCAGGAGAAUUAAAGAGAGUGUGCUGCAUUUUUGUAUCAUCAGCAUAUCCUACAAAUAUGCAAGGUGGAACACGAAAUUGUGGAAUUUAAGAGACAGAGCUAUUUUAAUAGCAGCCUCACAAAGUACACAGAUUACCAUUGGCAAAACAUAGACUUCUUCCUGUCUUGUUACAUUCAUUUGUUAAGUGAUGCAACCCAUUAAAAACUGAGAAAGGGAAAUGUCUUUAUAAACGAGUAACAAAAAAUGAUGCUUCUAGCUCAAUCGAAAGCAUAUUUACUUAGAAGCAAACUCAUUGCAAAAGUCAUUGGGAUUCCCAAAAUGGCAGUGCUGUUGUGGCCCAGCCUCCAUUUGAGCUGUCAGAUGACCCUGAGGUAAGGUCCGUUCAGCCUGUGAUUACCCCUGCAUCUACCUUGCCAGAGAUACAGCCAGAGUUUGUCCCUGCACCUGCCUUGUCGGAGGAUUCUGGAUUUGGACCUGAGAUGCAACCAGAGUCUGUCCCAGUGGAUUCUGGGACUGGAGAUAGAAUGGUUGCAACUAGACAGUUUAUUUAUUUAUUUAUUUACAGUAUUUAUAUUCUGCCCUUCUCACCCCGAAGGGGACUCAGGGCAGAUCACAUCACACAUAUAAGGCAAACAUUCAAUGCCUUAACAUAGAACAAAGACAGAGACAAACGCAGCUCCGAGCUGGCCUCGAACUCAUGACCUCUUGGUCAGAGUGAUUUGUUGCAACUGCCUGCUUUAUCAGCCUGCGCCACAACCCAAAACAGUAGGAACUGCAUUCCUCUAAGCAGUCAAGGCCAGACCUUCUGAUGCCAGAUGGACAUUUCAGUUCGGAUGCUGAAAAUAAUAACAGGGGAAGGGCUAAUGAGCUUGACAGGAGAGGAGCAAUAACUCAACACCAGACAGAGAGGGAGUCUGUGCAAACGAGUAGAUGGCUGCUUUUGUAAUGAACUAAUAAGCACUAUCCUCAUGGUUUGAGGCCUUGAAUUUCCCUUAAAAAGGUUUGCUUUCUCUGACACAGUCCAAGAGAGAAAGAUCUUUGCUCCGUGUUCCUGUGUUCCUGAGUUUGAUCCUGCAUUUUAGUCUUGUUAGCUGUGUUUUUUGUUUGACUCAUGCUUUGGAAUUAAUCUUGUUUGGACUAUUCUUGAUACCUUUCUUGGGACUUAUUUUGAUAUCCAGUUUGGACUAUGUUCUUUGAGUGACUUUUAUAGACUCUUGCUUCAAGAUUUUCAAGUACUUUGCUCGUGUAGAUUUAAACCCAUUUUAUUGACUCUGAAGUUAGAUUUUGCUAUUGCUUAUAUAUAACCUUCAAUAAACAGCUUGCUUGCUUAUAUUCUGGGGGUCCAGUGUGGUUUUGAGGUGCCUACAUAGCCUAGGGGUGCAACAAGUGCUUAGACUGUUGUAUGAUGAAGUUACCAGUGGUGUCCAUGUUAGUUGGAAGAUUUAACCCAAACUUCAGAGGGGUUAUCCUUUGUGUCCCAUGGUAGGGGAAAAUGCAUCAUAGGAUCAGGACUUCUCAGCAAUAUAUUAUCAUCAUCAUCAUCAUCAUCAUCAUCAUCAUCAUCAUCAUCAUCAUAAUCAUCAUUAUUAUUAUUCCUCGCCUCUCCUUGGCUCAAGGUGGGGUGCAACAAGGCUAAAAAAAGAGCAAUAAAACACUUCCAUAAAGGGUUGUGGAGAAAAGGCAGGAGGAAUGUGAUGAAACGCUCCCUCUUCCAAUUCCAUACAGUGCUGCCUAAUGACAGCCAUCUUGAUAGGUUGGUGAAUCCACUUUAUAUUUUGAUCCAAACUUUAAAGGAGCUGUCCAAGAUUCGGAUCUUAUUUGGGAUAAAAGUCAGCACCUUGUCUUUAAAGUUUAGACUGAAAAUUAGAGUAAAUUAACCUCACUGGUGUAGUAGCCAUCAUUCCCUCUCAACUCUGUGGGUCAUAAAAGAGUGGAUUGUUAAAGGGCAAGGCAUUAUCUCCUCUCAGGUGGACAAGGAGACCAGGAACAACAUUCCACACCCUCCAGGGAUCUCACAUCAAGGAAUGUUGAACAGGUUCUGUCGUUGGGGAUCUCUCUUUCUUGCUUGUGGUCUGUCUUUUCUGAUCAAUCCUCCUCCGGGCAGAUGAAGCUACCAAGAGGUCUAGUUGUGUCCAUCUUCUGUAAGUUGAAAUAAAGUGAGUUGAUUUGCCUUGACUUCAUUGGACAUAGGACUGUCUGGAAAUCAGACAGAAUAUUCAUUUUAAAAAAUUGCAGCCAACAUCCCUUGUUUCUGGCCUUCUUCAUAUGGGAAAUUGAUCCUCCAUUUCCUCUCUCUCUGUCCCCAACCAUCAUUUUUACUGGUGCAUCCCAUCUUAAUCACCUUUUUACAUCAGCCAGGGGGAAAAGAUUAUUAUAAGACAAAGGUGGAUAGCUUUUGUUAGUUCCCAUCAUCUUUGGUUUUCUAUUAAUUUAAGAGUUCUAGAACAACCUAUGACCCCCCCCCCCCCUUAUCUUUGGGGAACAUGUUCCAAGACUCCUUGAGGAUAUCUGAACCCAUAGAUAAUAGCAAGUCCUAUAAAUUGAUUACUUUUGGGGCAGAAAAAUACCAUAGUAUCAUGCUGGAGAACCUAGUGAGGCCAACAAACAAUUCCAGGGGGAUUGAAUGAGUAUAACUAUGGAUAUCAAAUCCAUAGAUAAUGGGGUUGGAUUGUGUAAAUUGCAUCCACUCCACAGAUAGUUGGAGAUGACUGAAACAAGCUCAUUGGAAAUAAAUUUUUCAUACAUUCCUCUGUGAAGAGCUCAGUGAGGUGGUGAAUUGACUCUUAGUUUUAAUGCACUUUUCGAAGGAGUUACCCAAAACCCAGAACCCAACCUCAUUAUAGGUUUAGUAUCUUGGAGAGCUCCUUUAAAAUUGUCCAAAACUCAAAAGUGGAUUCAAUGACCCACUGUUGUGGGAAUCAUCAGCCACCAGUAGAUGGAGAGGAUGGAGAAUGGGAAUAACAGGAAACCAGAUAGCACCAAGUUCAGCAGGGCUGAUUUAGAUAUUUAAAGUUAGAAUUAUGUUUCCUGUGUGUUCAAAAGUGAAGCUUUAGCUUUUUAUUACAACACAUAUGUCUUGGUUUGCUUGCUUGUUUGUUUUGAGAACAAUGCUACGAACUGCACAUUUAUCCUCUUUUUACGAUCUUGGUUGCUCCUUUUUAAAACACUCUGAGGAUGCCAUAAUUUUGACAUAUGUCCUCUGUGAUUCAGCCAGCUCUGUAAAUUAUUGUUCUUUGAGCCACUCUGCAGAGACUUUAAAGUGCAAUGUUGCCUUGCUCAGAACAGUUGACAAACGCUAAUAACAACAUUAUGGGAGGAAAUUAUAUUCUCCCAUGAAAUAGAAAUAAAUCAUACCUACACUUUGCCAUUAAAGUAUAUUGUCAAUGGUGGUGAUGAUGACUGAUUCUUAUCAACAGUGGUGUGGUAUGUUUUCCAGAAGAGGCUUGGAGAAGGUCAAAGUUCAAACUGAGAAACUGGAGUUCAUAAAAAUACAAAUGGUUGUUGGCUUAAUACACAAGAAGAGCCUCUUCUGAGUCUGCUGGAUUCUUAAAGAAACAUUCUCUCUAGAAAUAUCUAGGACCUAAAAUGUCAUUCUAUGGUCAGUUUCGAUGCCAGAAGACCUAGACAUUCCUAGAGAGGUGCUCCCUUUAACGAAGUAACAACUUCUUCCUUUAAGGCAGUGGUUCUCAACCUGUGGGUCCCCUGAUGUUUUGGCCUUCAACUCCAAGAAAUCCAAAAGCUAGCAAACUUGCUGGGAUUUCUGGGAGUUGUAAGCCAAAACACCUGGGGACCCACAGGUUGAGAACCACUGCUUUAAGGUUUUUCACUUUCACUUUCACAAGGAUCUUGUGCCACUAACACCAAUUUUGGGCACCACAGUUGAAGGGAGAUGUUGACAAGCUGGAAAGCGUCCAGAGGAGGGCGACUAAAAUGAUUAAGGGUCUGGAGAACAAGCCCUAUGAGGAGCGGCUUAAAGAGCUGGGCAUGUUUAGCCUGCAGAAGAGAAGGCUGAGAGGAGACAUGAUAGCCAUGUACAAAUAUGUGAAGGGAAGUCAUAGGGAAGAGGGAGCAAGCUUGUUUUCUGCUGCCCUGCAGACUAGGACAUGGAACAAUGGCUUCAAACUACAGGAAAGGAGAUUCCACCUGAACAUCAGGAAGAACUUCCUCACUGUGAAAGCUGUUCGACAGUGGAACUCUCUCCCCGGGGCUGUGGUGGAGGCUCCUUCCUUGGAGGCUUUUAAGCAGAGGCUGGAUGGCCAUCUGUCGGGGGUGCUUUGAAUGCGAUUUCCUGCUUCUUAGCAGGGGGUUGGACUAGAUGGCCCAUGUGGUCUCUUCCAACUCUACUAUUCUAUGAUUCUAUGAUUCUAUAAUAAAUGUGGAGGGCUGACUGUAGCUUGUCUACCAUGUUCUAUCCUAUGGAAACCUGGAAUUUGUAGUUUGAAGAAAUACCUCCCCAUAGCUUUAUUAGAGAACUCUUGUCCGUUCCAAUAUGGGAUCCUUGGUUUAAAAAAGCUUUGAACUAAAAUAAGAAAUGACAUUGGCAAGGAGCCACCAGCUGUCACUAAUAGUAUGAGUAGUACAAAGGACAGUAUUUCACAUUGGUGAGUAAGGAGUGAAAGCAUCAAUGGGCAGAUAUUCUAGGAGGAUAUUUCUCAGCUAUGAGCUUCUCACAGUGAGGACUUGACCCAGGAAAGCUAUUUUUAAAAGUAAUUUGUUCCAAGUACUCAAUGUAGUUUAGGCAGUCCCCAAGUUACUUACAAGAUAGGCUCUGUAGGUUUGUUCUUAAGUUUAAUUUGUUUGUAAGUCAGAACAGGUACAUUUUAAAGUGUAAUGCCAUCCUAAAUAUAAAAUUUUGGCUUAAUAUGGAAACAAGGAAUGUUUUCAUAAUAGUUAAGACACCUUUUCCCCAUGAUCUCUUUCAGGAGUGAAUUUCCCUUCCUAAGGUAGAUUUCUCUCACUUUCUGUUGUCUCACCCCCAUUUGUAACCAUGAGUCAGGUGUUCUUGGAAGAAAGAGGUUAUCUAGAUCUGGCACAGUCUGGCUUUAGUUUGAGACAUGGAACUGAAACAGCCUUGGUCACCUUAGUGGAUGAUCUUCGCAGAGAGCUGGACAGAGGGAGUUCUGUUAGUUCUCUUGGACCUCUCAACUGCCUUUGAUACCAUAGACCACAGUAUCCUUCUGAGACACCUCGUGGGAAUUGAUCUGGGAGAUACUGUUCUACAGUGGCUCCAGUCCUUCCUGGAGGGUCUUUCUCAGAAGGUGUUGUUGGGGGACACCUGCUCGACCCCACAGCCUUUGCCUUGUGGGGUCCCACAGGAUUCAGUGUUAUCCCCCAUGUUGUUUAACUUCUACAUGAAGCCACUGGGAGAGAUCAUCUGGAGUUUUGGAGUUCGAUGUCAUCUGUACGCAAAUGAAGUUCAACUCUAACAUUCCUUUCCACCUGCUACUAAGGAGGCUGCUCAGGUCCUGAACAGGUGCUUGACCUCUGUGAUGGUCUGGAUGAGGGCGAACAAAUUGAAGUUGAAUCCAGAAAAGACAGAGGUUCUCCUGGUCAGUUGCAGGGCCAGAUAGGGUUUAGGGUUACAUCCUGUGUUGGAUGGGGUUAUACUCCCCCUGAAGACACAGGUUCGCAGCUUGGGAGUGAUCCUAGACUCAUUGUUGAGCAUGGAACCCCAGGUUUCAGCGGUGGUCAGGGGUUUUUUCCUCACAAUUAAAACUUGGGCACCAGUUGCACCCGUACCUUGGGAAGUCAGAUUUGAGCAAGGGAAAAACUGAUGGUGGUCUACGCUCUUGUUACAUCUCGAAUAGAUUACUGCAAGGCACUCUACAUGGGGUUGUCUUUGAAAACUGUUCAAAAGCUACAAGUAGUCCAGUGGGUAGCAGCCAGGUUUCUAACUGGACCGGGUACAGGGAGCACACAACUCCCCUACUACGCCAGCUCCACUGGCUGCAAGUUUGCUACCGAGCAUAAUUCAAAGCACUGGCUAUAGCCUAUAAAGCCCUAAACAGUUCUGGCCCAGCUUACCUGUCUGAACAUAUUUCCUCCUAUGAACUAUCUCAGAGGUUAAGAUCAUCCGAGGAAGCCCUGCUCUCAAUCCCACCUCACUUGCAGGUGCAACUGGUGGAUGAGGGACAGGGCCUUCUCAGUAGUGGUCCCUCAGCUUUGGAACUCCUGCCCCAGGGAAAUUAGAUCAGCCCCUUCCCUCCUGACCUUCAAGAAGAAAUUUAAAUCCUGGUUGUGGGACCAAGCAUUUGUAAAGAGAUUUCCAGUGCAUCAGUUGAUAUGUCAGUGCAAUAAUGAACAAUACAAAUGACAACUGGAAUGGCUCUGGAGUUCUGGCAUAUGUUUUUGGACUGUGUGAUUUUAAAUAAUUGUUUUAUUUGAUAUGUUUUAAUUAUGUGAUUUUAAAGUAUAUGUUGUUUUAUGUUGAUAUGUAUUCAAGGCAUCGAAUUGUGGGUUUGUUGCUCUGCAGUCUGGAUGGCAAGACUAGGACUUGGUUAGUAUUAUAAAAUUUAUUCAUCUAAGAGUAAGGAACAGAAUUAUAAACUGAGAAUGCUAUUAUGAUGAACUGUGAAAAGAAUUGCUCCAAAUCUGAAUGAAAACAAUAUUCCCAAAAAUAAAUAAAUCAGAUUUCUUUCUAGUAGAUACUUCAGGUCCUUAUCACCUUAUUAAUUCCCACAAAUGUCAAUAUUUAUCUGGAACAUAUAAUCAAACUAAAUCACAAAGUAAUUGCAGCUUUCCCUGGACUGUCAGUAUUUACAAACCAAUUUUUGUUUUUUGUUUUUUGUUUUUUUCAUUAUACUGGUACAAUAUGCUCAGAAUAAAAAGACUUUUAAAGAUGUUCCUCAGAGCGAAGCUAAUUUUAGAAAUGGCUAUUGACCCAACACAGUCUUCUUGCCACUAUGUCCUGCCAUUGAUAACUACAUCUCAGGUGUUGAUGAAGCAUACAGUAUGACUCCAAUCUAAUCUUCUGAAAAGAAAUUAGAAAUUAAUGAAGGGUGUGGGAUGAAAUAUGAAUUGUGUUUCCAAAUGAAAUGACUCUGGGUGGUCAACACUGGUUCUUGCAUGCUGCCUUUCCAAACAUAUAGCAUUUUAAUCAGUUCUGGUCAAGAAUUAAUUGACAUUGCCAAGGCUCAAUGGCAAUAGAACAGAAUCACUUGUAAGCUUUGGUGAUGGGGCAGAGGGAUUAUCAAGUAUUCAAAUACUGAUCAAAAGCCAUCAAGAAGGGAGCAAAUUUAAGCCUAAGGAAAGGUGUCCAAUGGCUGUGUGGGGCUGUUAAUGAGAUUAUCUACUACCUCCAGGAGCAGUGCAUGACAUAUUGGUCUUUUCAGAGGAGGAGGUCAAGGUAAAUUCCCUGUGAAAAUAGACACAACACUAUGUCUGACAAACCUUUAAAGGAGAGUAAAGGGAGAUUCAGAUCACAACCCUGAAUGGCUCAGCAUAGCAUUAUAGUACCACAUGUGGAAAUAAUCCACACUGGGCCAUAUACCAUCUCUGGUGAAACCCCUGAUGAUCCCCUUUUGCUGGGAGUUGACCAUAGAAUUGUGCUGAAGGAACUGGAGAUUCCUACAGAGGUGUUCCUUCUGAAUUUUAAUAGUAUUUUUAUAUUCAUGUCUUUUCUACUUUUGUGUUUGUCCUGUGCCACUAAUCACAAUGAAAGUGGAAGCCCUACUGUACAAAAUAGACAUUGAUCUAUGCAAGUCCAUCUGUGUUACAUCCCGUGAAUCUGCAGUGGGCAACACUGUCAUGACCUUGAGCUUACCUGCUUGAAAAUAAUCAAUUAGGCCCCCAUCUUCCAAGUCAAAAGUGUGUGAGGGGGCUGUCCAUGUCCAAUGCUUGUGAAUCAUUUGCUUCAUUAGGGUCUCCGUGUGCAACCUUUCAGAAAGCACAAACACCUGUGAAAUAGUGCUAGCGUGCUGUCCCAAGAGGAUUCUAGCAAAGUUUGCACCAAACUAAUAUAACUGAUGAAAUAAGGCAGAGAAGGAUGUAAACAACACAUCAAAGACAGCUAUUAAAAUAAACCUUUACAGAACUGUAAAGUUCUGGCAAAAUAGAAAUAACUUAUCUGCUUACUAUUGAACAGAGGUUACUGGUGAUUCUGUUCUCAAUGUGGUUUCAGCACCUGGACAGCUCUCAGAUUAAUUGUAAGAAACCUGGUGUUAAAUUCUGAAGAGAUGCCAUCAAAACUGGAAGGGAAUUUCUUGUCUAAAAAUGUCAGUGCCACAAGUCAUAUUUGGUGCUGAAAAAACAGCCAUGUAAAUGACUGCAAAACUUUCCAAAAGAGAUCAUUCCAAAAAGAUCCUUGCUUUGGAUGCUACCAAUUCUGAAGAGAUGCCAUCAAAACUGGAAGAGAAUUGCUUGUCUAAAAAUGUCAGUGCCACAAGUCAUAUUUGGUGCUGAAAAAAACAGCUAUGUAAAUGAUUUUUUAAGACAGAUCAUUCCAAAAAGAUUCUCGCUUUGGAUACUACCUCAAUGGCUGGGCAGAUGCUUCAAUAUAAGAUGAUCUUUUAAAAAUAAUACAUUGGUCCCACACUGACAUUCAACUGUUGCUAAAUACUGCCUCUGGUGCAGUGCUUUUUUCCAUUGUGGUAGAGUGGUUAGUGUUGAGUUACUAAUCCGAAGAAUGGUGGAAACCCACUGAGUGACCUUAGACAAAUCACAUUCUCUCAAUCUCAGGGGGAAAGAACAUUUACAAAGACUCCCCCACGAUAGUUUUGUUGUAGCUUUGCCAUAAGUCAGAAAUUAUUUGAGAGCAUACCAUAACAACAGCAACAAAAACAACUUGGAAUGCUGUGUCAAGUUAGCAGCUUUGGGUCUCAAUCAAGAGAAAGGUGGGGUAUAAUGGUGAUGAUGUUCUCGGCACAGCAAUUAUGAAAGGACGUUGAAACAUAUCCAAAGAAAAGUUAUCAAAAUGGUGAAAGGUCUGGAAACGUGUGAGGAGUGGCUUAGAGAGCCAGGCGUGAACAAGGUUGGGGGGACAUGAUAACUAGGUUUGAAUGUAUGAAAGAACAUUGAAGAGGGAGCAAGGUUGUUUUCUGCUGCUCCAGAGUAGGACAAAGAGCAACAAAUUCAAAUUACAGGAAGAGAGAUUCCACUUAAACACUAGGAAAAACUUCCUGAUGGAAAGAGUUGUUCAACAGUGAAAUAUGCUGCCUUCGAGUUUAGUGAUGUCCAUCUGUUGGGAGUGCUUUGAUUUUGUAUUCCUGCAGAAUACAGGGUUUGGCUGGAUGGUACUUGUAGUACUUGUAGUCUCUUCCAACUCUAUCUUUCUAUGAUCUAUCUAUAACAACAACAACAAUGUAUUUGUUCAGGUUUGCUUGAAGUAACUUAAUAGGUAGUGCUCAGAACAUGAAAUGUAACCUACCUGUUGCUUAGUUAUGGAAAAACUGCCUCUUUUCAUGGUGUGAUUUUCCCUAAAAUUGCUUAAUGGGAAACUCAUCUUACAUAUCCUAUAAUGUAUCCAUUAUUGCUAAUUCCAUGUAGCAUUAUUCUUUGUAGCUGACACAUUCUUUUUUAUUGGUAAUUAGCUUGCUACUGAGAAUGUAGUGUCUUUUGAUUUUUGUUUAAAAAAAUCUUCAUCAAAAGAAUAAAUAAUCUGACGUUGUAAGCCUGUGUUGUUUGUAACACAUAAUUGCCUUAGCCUGUGUAUAUCAAGGGCGAGGGGAGGGAAGUGAGGCUUUUCAGAAAAGAGUUUCACUGACACAUGAAAGAAGCUAAAAUUACUGUACCUGAAUGAAAAGGAAAAGGGCACUGUAAUAAAGGAGACGAUUCAUUAUGUUUUAAUGGUAGUGGUUUGAAUCAACAAAAAGUGACUGGAAAGACCUUUCUGGCCUCUCUUCGGUGCCAUUGAAAUCCACAGCCCACUUAAGAAAGCAUACUGACUUUAGGAAUUACUCCUGAACAAACCAUUCGCUUCAAAGCCAAGGUGAUUCAUGUUUUAUUUUGUGUUCUCCUUGAAUAAUAAAUAAAUAAAUAAAUAAAUAAAUAAAAUUGAUGUGAUAAAGAUCACAUACAGAACAAGGGAUGGAAGAGAAAUAUGCUUGUUCUAAACUUCCUGAAUUGUGCAAAGAUGUAAAUCGACAUUUGUUUUAUUCCCUCACGUGUAAACAAAAAGAUCUAAGACUUCUCUAUUUAUCUCAAUAAUAACAGGAUUUUGUGCCUUUUUUGCUAAGAAUGUUUAUAUUUAAAAUAUUUUCUAUGUAUGCAAAAGUUACAAUAAUAUAUACCUUAUUUAUAUUCCGCUCUAUCUCCCCAAGGGAACUCAUAGCAGAUUACAGGUACAUAUAUAUGGCAAACAUUCAAUGCCAUUAUACAAUUGGCAGAGACAGACAAUACAUAAACAGAGGCAGACUUCCCUUUUUCAUUUCUGCCAUCUGGAGGCAGUGCUCGACUUGGCCAUGGGGAGGUGCUGCUCUUCCAUUCUUUCAUGCCGAGAAGCCUGUUCAUCAAAUUGCCAGCAUGUUUUCAGGAAUGCCUUAUCUCCCCACUAGAGUGGUACCUACUUAUCUACUUACAUUGCUGUUUUCAAACUGCUAGGUAGACAGAAGCUAGGCUAAUGGCAUGAGCUUACCCUGCCCACAGCUUGAAGUGUCAACUUUCCGGUUAGCAAGAUCUUUUGUAGCUGGUGGUUAACCCACUGUGCUAGCUCUUCAUGCUCUUACACAAAAUUAAUAAUUUAUUUAGUCAUACAUUUAUUUCAGUAGAAUUACUAGGGGGUGCAGGGGAAGGCAGACCACAUUGGGUGUCACCAUCAGGAGGGAACACCAAAAUUACUGUCUAUGAACAUUUUAAUGCAAUAUUUCAUCAGAAAUUUAAUUUAAACUAAUGUAAUCAGAUAUUCUGUAACAACAAGCUGUAAGUCCAAUGUAUAAUAUGUUGCUAUUGACUACUGCAAAAUUGAUUUCAACUUAAUGGUUCUCUCAUGAAUGAGAGACCCUGUUAUUAAAAAUCCUUCUCAGAUCUUGCAGAUUCAGGACAACUGUGGCUUCUUUUAUGGAAUCUAUACAUCUACAGUGAGUUCUCCCUCUUUUCCUACUGCCUAUCGGAUUGGAUGGAAUGCCCUUGUGUUUUGUUGCUUACUGCCUUCAAGUUGACUUUGACUUGUAGUGACCCCAUGAAUGAGAGACCUUCAAGCCACUUUAUCCUCAAUAUUCCUGCUCAGGUCUUGCAGACCUAAUGCUGUUACUUCUUCGAUUGUCUCUAUCCAUCUGGAAUGUGGUCUUCCUCUUUUCCUACUACCUUCUACCUUAACAAGUAUGAUUGUCUUUUCUAAUGAGUCCUGUCUAGAGAUGCGCGCGAAAUUUGUCUCAUACGUUUCAUUUGUGUUUCUAUUUUGUAUCGUCCAUUCGGAUGGCACAAAACAGAAAGACCCCCAAUGAAACAAAAACUGCCUCAAAAUGAAAGGCAGGCAGGAUGAGUAUCAGCUCCAAGCCUGCCUUUUGGAUCGCUCAGCUGUAGGCCCUGCAGGGCCCAGGUGUGUAAGCCCAAAGCCUGCACCCAUCCCCCCCCCCCCCCGAAAAAAAGACAGAAAGAAAACAAAAACAAAACUAAUGGCUGACCUUCCAAUUUUGGGAGUUCUGACAAAAACAUAUCAGGGCCUUGACGAAAGCCGGGACACGAAACAGAACAAGGUAAGUCCCGAAAGCCCAUCUCUAGUCCUAUCUUCUCAUAAGGAGUCUCUGGUGGUGCAAUGGGUUAAACUUUUGUGCCGGCAGACUGUUGACUGGAAGGUUAGGUUGCUGACCUGAAGAUUGUCAGUUCGAAUCCAACCCAGGGAAAGCAUGGUGAGCUCCCUCUGUCAGCUCCAGCUCCAUGCGGGGACAUGAAAGAAGCCUCCCACAAGGAUGGUAAAACAUCAAAACAUCUGGGCAUCCCCUGGGCAACAUCCUUGCAGACAGCCAAUUCUCUCACACCAAAUGCAACUUCAAGUUUUUCAAGUCACAAAAAAAAAAUAACAUAGCCAAAAUACAACAGGUAUUGUUCAGGCUAAUUUACUUUUUGAACUUGCAUUAAUUCUACAGUGUAGAAGCACCCUUUGCCAAACUCUGGUUCUAUUCAGCAUAUAGGUUCCGCUAAGUAUAUUUUUAGCCAAGGUGUGAAUUAGAACUCUUUACAGAAAAAAAUGUGGGCCAAAUAUCAUUGCCCUCUAUCCCUACCAUAGCUUCUUUAGGAUGUUAAAAGUAAAUUCCUGCAGAAACAUGAAACUGAGCUUGGAUACAGACAGGGAAUGCUGUGGAUGUAGCGUACCUGGAUUUCAGUAAGGCCUUCGACAAAGUCCCCUACGACCUUCUGGCAAACAAACUAGUUAAAUGUGGACUAGACAAAACUACGGUUAGGUGGAUCUGUAAUUGGCUAAGCGAACGAACCCAAAGGGUGCUCACCAAUGCGUCGUCUUCAUCAUGGAAAGAAGUGACAAGUGGAGUGCCGCAGGGCUCCGUCCUGGGCCCGGUUCUGUUCAACAUCUUUAUUAACGACUUAGACGAAGGGUUAGAAGGCACGAUCAUCAAGUUUGCAGACAACACCAAACUGGGAGGGAUAGCUAACACUCCAGAAGACAGGAGCAGAAUUCAAAACGAUCUUGACAGACUAGAGAGAUGGGCCAAAACUAACAAAAUGAAGUUCAACAGGGACAAAUGCAAGAUACUUCACUUCGGCAGAAAAAAUGGAAAUCAAAGAUACAGAAUGGGGGACGCCUGGCUUGACAGCAGUGUGUGCGAAAAAGACCUUGGAGUCCUCGUGGACAACAAGUUAAACAUGAGCCUACAAUGUGAUGCGGCAGCUAAAAAAGCCAAUGGGAUUCUGGCCUGCAUCAAUAGGGGAAUAGCGUCUAGAUCCAGGGAAGUCAUGCUCCCCCUCUAUUCUGCCUUGGUCAGACCACACCUGGAAUACUGUGUCCAAUUUUGGGCACCGCAGAUGAAGGGAGAUGUUGACAAGCUGGAAAGCAUCCAGAGGAGGACGACUAAAAUGAUUAAGGGUCUGGAGAACAAGCCCUAUGAGGAGCGGCUUAAAGAACUAGGCAUGUUUAGCCUGCAGAAGAGAAGGCUGAGAGGAGACAUGAUAGCCAUGUACAAAUAUGUGAGGGGAAGUCACAGGGAGGAGGGAGCAAGCUUAUUUUCUGCUGCCCUGCAGACUAGGACACGGAACAAUGGCUUCAAACUACAGGAAAGGAGAUUCCACCUGAACAUCAGGAAGAACUUCCUCACUGUGAGGGCUGUUCGGCAGUGGAACUCUCUCCCCCAGACUGUGGUGGAGGCUCCUUCUUUGGAAGCUUUUAAGCAGAGGCUGGAUGGCCAUCUGUCGGGGGUGCUUUGAAUGCGAUUUCCUGCUUCUUAGCGGGGGGUUGGACUGGAUGGCCCAUGAGGUCUCUUCCAACUCUACUAUUCUAUGAUUCUAUGAUUCUAUGAAGCUGUUUCAAUUCAGGCAUGAGGUUUUCCUGUUUCCUAAUAUUUCCCAGAAAAAUCUACACAGCAGUUUUAGGGUAGGCAAUGAACACCCCCUUCCCUGAAGAACAGAUGCCUUAAUUGCAUGUCAUAAUGGGUUGUUUUGGUAGCUCUUAUCUUUCCCUGUGGCCCCACUCAGCACAAAACAUUUCCCUUCCACUGCUCCGAGGCCAUGGAGGGUUGGCAUAACUAGCUCGCUCAUUGGUAUGCAAACAGCGGCCUUCCUAGUAAACUGGAAGCUUCAAAGCAAAGUGAGAUAUUUGCUGUGCUUCUUUGCGUGCCAACCGGAAAAAAGCAGACAUUCUCCAAUCUCACACUCUUUGAAUGGGGUUUUGUUGUGACUGUGCUUGGAGAAUAAACAGGAGGGGCCGAAUAUUUGAGCCCAGCAAUGGGGGGCAACAGGAAAAAAUGGGGUGGAAAUGCAGAAAGGACAUGGUAUCAUUUUAAAGGGUUGUUCCAUGUCCCACAUGUUAAGGUUUUUCAUAUUCCAAAUAUGCAUUCUCUGAUAAAAAGUCAGAUUGGUUACUGCAUAUACUUGAGCAGAAGUCACCUUCAUGUAUAAUUUGGGGGCAGAUUUUGGGGCCAAAAUGAUGAAUAUUGAUAUGACCCAUAGUCAAGUUGAAGCUCAUUCCACAUGAAGAGAUGAAGAGCUAGUGCUGCCCCAAGGAACCAGAAGUCUUGCUACUACACAUCGGCAAGGCUGUGCAUUUUAAAGCAUCUACUUAUCUAGAUGCACCUGAUUACCCAUUAUAGUCAGCCUAGGUGACUUACGUACAUUCAUGACGCAUUUUCUGAAUUAGAACGAUAUCAUCUCUAUCAUUAAAAUACCGGCAGUUAACAUUAAUCAGUCAAGAAUAUGGUAACAUUUUAAUUAAGCAUAAUUGUUUACAUAACAGUUAAGGCGUGUGUUAUGUUCUUUUAAAAUGAGGAUAUUAAAAGGAAUGUCUCUAUAGCUAAACUGAGUCACUGAGAGGAUUUAUUUGAAACUAUACUGAACACUGCUUGAAGCGAUUACCUCUUUCAUCACAAACAAAAUCGCUCCUCUUCUUCAUUCACCAUUUUUAUAAGAGCAAUCAAAAUCCAAUUUAUUUACACAUGGCUUACUUUCUUAUUGCAAUUGGACCCACCUUGUGGGACGCCUCAACAAGGUUUGGCUGAAAUCCUGUAUUGGGGUUACAUUGUAUAAAGCCUUCCACAUGUGGAAAUCUAUCAAUCGUUUUAUCUCUCCAUCCAGGAACAAUGCAGGGAAAUAUAACAAGUACAGCUGAUAGAAAUGGUAGGAAUUUUGCAUUAGCUACCUAGUUAACUAUACCUAUUGAGAUUUAUUCAUCCAUAGUUGCAUCUAUCAAGUAGGAAAUAAGGUACCACUUAUAAAAGUGGGGAGGCAAGUUUAACUAAUUUACGACUUGGAAUGAGGAAGUGCUGUCAGAGUGGAUGAUGAAGCAGCUGCUCCCCCCUGUGGCCAGAAUCGAACAUCCCCUCAGGAGAAGGAUAAAUUGCCUCUGCGUCUGUCUGUCUCUGUCUCUGUCUGAUGUGUUUAUGGGCAUUGAAUGUUUGCCCUAUGUGUGCAUAAUGUGAUCCGCCCUGAGUCCCCUUCGGGAUGAGAAGGGCGGAAUAUAAAUACUGCACAUAAAUAAAUAAAUAAAUAAAUAAAUAAAUAAAUAAA